UACGGGGGGAGCAAGCGUUGUUCGGAUUUACUGGGCGUAAAGGGCGCGUAGGCGGCCACUGCAAGUCAGUUGUGAAAUCUCCGGGCUUAACCCAGAACGGCCAAGUGAUACUGUCGCGCUAGAGUGCGGAAGGGGCAAUCGGAAUUCUCGGUGUAGCGGUGAAAUGCGUAGAUAUCGAGAGGAAUACCUGAGGUGAAGACGGGUUGCUGGGCCGACACUGACGCUGAGUGCGCGAAAGCCAGGGG
rnacentral:rRNA from 1 species